GGGUCAGUAGGUUGGUCGUGCCACCGGUACGUACUGGUCUCACUGAUUACUCCUUCCUGAAGAACCGUAAUGCCAUUAAUCUGGUGUUGCGGGGAAACAGGACUGUUACUUUGAAAAAAUUAGAGUGUUUAAAGCAAGCUAACGCUUGAAUACAUUAGCAUGGAAUAAUGAAAUAGGACGAUCGAUCCUAUUUUGUUGGUUUCUAGGAUUGACGUA
rnacentral:rRNA from 1 species